AUUGAACGCUGGCGGCAGGCCUAACACAUGCAAGUCGAACGAGUGGCGGACGGGUGAGUAAUGUCUGGGAAACUGCCUGAUGGAGGGGGAUAACUACUGGAAACGGUAGCUAAUACCGCAUACCAUCAGAUGUGCCCAGAUGGGAUUAGCUUGUUGGUGGGGUAACGGCUCACCAAGGCGACGAUCCCUAGCUGGUCUGAGAGGAUGACCUGCCAGACUGGAGCUGGUCCACGGUCUGGACUCCUACGUGAGGCAGCGGUGGGGAAUAUUGGACAAUGGGCGCAAGCCUGAUGCAGCCAUGCCGCGUGUGGGAAGAAGGCCUUCGGGUUGUAAAGUGCUUUUAGCGGGGAGGCGUUACCCGCAGAAGAAGCAUCGGCUAACGCCGUGCCAGCAGCCGCGGUAAUUC
rnacentral:rRNA from 1 species